GAGGGUAUAGCUCAGUGGCAGAGCUCAUGUUUAGCAUGCAAGAAGUCCUGAGUUCAAUCCCCAGUACCUCCA
rnacentral:tRNA from 1 species